rnacentral:lncRNA from 10 species
AGUACAGUCACUUCUGCUCCAUGAAAGUGAGGUCAUCAUUCGUUUCAGGAAGUUGAGUGAGGCCUGAGACAGCAAUGUUUCGUUUAGCCUGGCGGUGGCCCUCCUUGUCUUCAAGAAGAGCAUCCGUGGCUAGCAGUGGAAGAUGGGGUUGGGCCCCAGGACUGACCAGGCAGUUCUGCCACCUUCUAGGAGUGUGAAAUUGGGAAGUAAUUCAAAAUGUAUGUGCCUAGCAUUCCUUUUAUGUAACAUGAGGGGAAUAGAAGUACCAAACCGAUGCAGUUCAGUGGAGAAUUAAAUGAGAUAGUCACAAGUAAAAGGUGAUGGUCACAGGAAUGAGGAAAGAAUGACUCUGGCUCCUAGCAGCAGAAUCUUAACUGAAGACGCGAUCUUACUGCAUUGACCAGGAUGGUCUCAAACUCCUGGCUACAGGCUAUCCUCCUGCCUCUGUCUCCCAAAGCGCUGGGAUUACAAGCGUGAGCCACCAGGCCUGGCCCAAUUGCUUCUUAACAACUUACUAUUCUUUGUUCACUACAGUGUAUACAUAACUGACUUUUUAUUUGGAUCUUCAUUUUGUAAUGAAGGCUCUGGUCACAUGUAAGACUUGUAUUAAAUAAAUUUGCCUGCUGUUCUGUUAAUCUGUGUUAUGCUAAUUUAAUUCUUGAGCCCAGCUGGGUCCUGGAGAGGAUAGAGUGAAAUUUUGUGGCAGCUACGUAAGUCAAUGAAAUUGGAAACAGAAAAACAAUCUUUAAAAAUCAAUAAAAUCAUAAACUUAUUCUUUGAGAAGAUCAAUAUAGUUUAUAAACCUUUCAACUGACUCACCCACAGGGAAAAAGAAGAAAACAAAAAUCAGGAGGGAGGGAAUGUUAUUACAAAUUUUGCGGAUAUUAAAAGGAUUAUAAGGGAACAUUACAAACAACUCCUUGUCCAUAAAUUGAUCAAUUUACAUGACAUGGAAUAUUACUUGAAAGGCACAAACUACCAAAGCUCACUCAGGAAGAAUGGAUAACCUAGAUACUUGCGUGUAUGUAUGUGUGUGCAUACAUACAAUUUUUACACACACACACACACACACACAUAUAUAUAUAUAUAUGCACAGUUAAUUUUUUCUAUCUUUUGUAGAGAUGGGUUUUUACCAUGUUGCCUGGGCUGGUCUUGAACUCCUGGGCUCAAGCGCUCUGCCCACCUUGGCCUCCCAAAGUGCUGGGAUUACAGGCUUGAAACACUGCACCUGCCUGGCCUGAUAUAUAUUUCAAAACUGAUUUAAUAGAUAAAGCCUUCCAACAACAACAAUAAAAAAAACAAUAUUGAGAUGAAUUCAUUGGUGGAUUCUACUAAACAUUUAAAGAGUAAAGAUGUGAAUUUUAAAUAAACCCAGAAACAAAAAGAGAAGGGAACACCCA